UAUCCCGCAACAACGGUAGCGUGAUAUUGUGUCAUUUUUUUGCACGGCGUCAUUGCCUGUGGGCAGUCCAUAACAGCUUGGAUUAAUUCGCUAUUUCACAUAAGUAUUUUUGCCAAUUGUUUAUGAUUCAGAAUGAAGUAUUAUUCUCUUCUCCUCUUUUAUUAGUUGCCUCAGCAUUUGUCGAAAAUUUUACACAUUUCCACAAUCUUUUCAUAUAAACUCCAAAAAUCAUGCCUGAUGAUGUUGACGCCAUAAUUUGCUGUGUUGAUACAUUGAGCGAUUAAAAAAUUUUAGACAUUUAAUUCACACAUUUGUGAGAAUACUUUUUAAAAAUACUUCCAUUGAAUAUUACGUCAAUUAAUUAUUCGAAGAAUUAUUGCAAAAUACUUCGCACAUUGAAAGGACCAUUCACUUAAACUGUCUAAUUCAAGUACACAUUUUUUUAUUCAUCUACUUCCUCAGAAUGAGUACUCAAGAGGAAGAUGGCAAAUUGUAUCAAAUUGUGGAGUUCCUGGACAAAAUUACUGAGACUGGGAAAAAAACCCUCGAAAUCGUUCCAAAGUCGUGGGUGACCAGAACCGAUGGAAACAACAAUAGUACUUGUGCUUUUCCUCCCCCAAUAAAUAUUGUAUAAUAGACACAAUAGUGAAAGAUCUCAGUCCUCCAGAAUCAUCGUGGGAGAAAUUUGACGUUGAAAUUCUCACAAGUGCUCGUAUGAAUAUCGUCAUACUAAUAUUUUUCAUGCAUACCCAAUCGUUUAUCAUCGAAUUGAAAUAAAUGAACUCUUCUUUAUUAGAGAAAAAAUAAACUACUCUUUACAGGGAAUUACGACAAGGCCCAGAGGAGGAUCAAACGUCUUUAUAAAAAACGUGAUAACGUAAAAUCCACAGAUUGAGAUACUCAAACCAAUCGAGCUAGAAAAUUAACCAAAAAUCAAGCGGCAAUGAUGUCAAGGCAAACUUUUUCUCUCUUAGAACAAAUUGUCGAAGAAAGGGAGUCCUCUACAUUAAGUAAGAACAUCGAGAAUUCCUGAGGCUGAAGUUUCCAGAAAUAAAAAUGAACCAAGAGAUGAUGAGGCAGCCGGGGCUAGAGCCUCUCAAAGUAAAGUUUACAGGGAAUUACGACAAGGCCCAGAGGAGGAUCAAACGUCUUUAUAAAAAACGUGAUAACGUAAAAUCCACAGAUUGAGAUACUCAAACCAAUCGAGCUAGAAAAUUAACCAAAAAUCAAGCGGCAAUGAUGUCAAGGCAAACUUUUUCUCUCUUAGAACAAAUUGUCGAAGAAAGGGAGUCCUCUACAUUAAGUAAGAACAUCGAGAAUUCCUGAGGCUGAAGUUUCCAGAAAUAAAAAUGAACCAAGAGAUGAUGAGGCAGCCGGGGCUAGAGCCUUUCAAAGUAGAACAGCAUACAGUGACACAAAAGCAGAGAAAAAAUCGGCAUUGAUAGCUUGCCUUACACGUCUGAGGGGGAGUGCCAUAGGCGAUCCUCUUAAAGGUAAGUACCAACCAUAUUGUGGAGGAAAUUUGUGUAUUUUCUUUGUUUUUUUCUCAUUUUUCAGAAUUUGUCAUGGAUUACUGGGAUACUAAAUUGGAUUUCCUCAUGUACAAACUACGUUACGAUUUCUCAAACUUAUAAUGAUGCAUCCAGUACGAUUUAAGUAGAAAAAUCGAAUAGCUCAAGAUUAACAUGACCAUUCGUCAUGUUGUUGGAGCUCCACCCAUAGCGCGCCAUAGCGUCCCCUAGGGAAGGAUUAUCUAGAAACUUACUUACUUACUAUUAAGGCUUUGGAAGAGUUCCUCGAUUUUGAGAGGACUCUCGACCCAAUGCAUGAGAAUAAUUUGGCUGACCCUGAAAAGGCUUUGAGCAAGCGUGUGACACUUGUGAAUUUAUUUGGAAUAUAUUUAUAUUUUGAGGCGUUAUUAUUGACUUUACCAAUUGUCUGAGAAUAUGUUUGUGGUUUUUUUUUUAGAAAGAAUUUAUAAAUGUGUUAACGCAUAAAGAAUCCAAUUACGCUGCAGACAUUAAGAAGAUCCUCAAGGAAUUAAUCGCCAAAGAAGUUCAACUUAAUUAUAGUGGCGUAGGCCGUGUUGUCAAAGGAAAAGGAAAAAAAUUACAGUGCAACAGCGACUUUUGCGUGUAUGAGAGAUUUCAUUGAGACAAAAUAUAAAGACUCUAAUCAACCAUUGAAGAUUAUUACGAUUACAAGUGAUUGGCUUAGCAGGUGCUGGCGACAGAGAUGGAGGAUGCAUACAGCGUAAAAAGGAAGUUGGUGCAGUUUAACUGAAAAAAGAGCUUAGAGGGAUCGAACUCAAAAGGAGUUAAUUUUUUUGUUCAAUAUUAUCAGGGGUUUUGUCCAGUUACGACAAUUCAGGCAACAAUUUUGUAUUUUUUGUGUUAAAAAAAAGAGUUACGUUAAUGUUUUUUGUUCAUUAUUAUCGGGAGUUUUGUUUAGUUAUGAAAACAUAAUGUUAUUUUUCAUUUUCCAUGUGAAUGAAGUCCAUUUAAAGUAUAUAUAUAACAAUAUAUAUAAUAUUAAUAAUACAAUAUAAUAAAGACAAUUAAACAUAAUUAGUUCCGAUAAAUCAUUCUUUAUUGAAUGUACCAAUCCACAAAAUACCUAUUCAAAUUACAUCUGAACCCUGGCUAAGCCCAGGUAUUAAAAAAAAUAAGCCUGGAACGGCGGUGGUUUCAGGGCCUGGACCAGUGUUAAUAAGACGGCCUGGGCCAGCCCUAGUUACCAGGUCUGGCCCCACAUUAUAUUCCAAUGCUCAUCCACUAUUGGUCCGGGCUUGGAUACCAAACCUGAUCCAAGCUUGCCAAGUCUUGGGAACGGCUUGGUUAAAAGCUGGGCCAUUGGUGAUUUCCUACCUGGGAUGAUCGCUCUUGUGCUUAUAUAGGGUGAUUUUUUAAGAGCUUGAUAACUUUUUUUUAAAAAAAAAACGCAUAAAAUUUGCAAAAUCUCAUCGGUUCUUUAUUUGAAACGUUAGAUUGGUUCAUGACAUUUACUUUUUGAAGAUAAUUUCAUUUAAAUGUUGACCGCGGCUGCGUCUUAGGUGGUCCAUUCGGAAAGUCCAAUUUUGGGCAACUUUUUCGAGCAUUUCGGCCGGAAUAGCCCGAAUUUCUUCGGAAAUGUUGUCUUCCAAAGCUGGAAUAGUUGCUGGCUUAUUUCUGUAGACUUUAGACUUGACGUAGCCCCACAAAAAAUAGUCUAAAGGCGUUAAAUCGCAUGAUCUUGGUGGCCAACUUACGGGUCCAUUUCUUGAGAUGAAUUGUUGUCCGAAGUUUUCCCUCAAAAUGGCCAUAGAAUCGCGAGCUGUGUGGCAUGUAGCGCCAUCUUGUUGAAACCACAUGUCAACCAAGUUCAGUUCUUCCAUUUUUGGCAACAAAAAGUUUGUUAGCAUCGAACGAUAGGGAUCGCCAUUCACCGUAACGUUGCGUCCAACAGCAUCUUUGAAAAAAUACGGUCCAAUGAUUCCACCAGCGUACAAACCACACCAAACAGUGCAUUUUUCGGGAUGCAUGGGCAGUUCUUGAACGGCUUCUGGUUGCUCUUCACCCCAAAUGCGGCAAUUUUGCUUAUUUACGUAGCCAUUCAACCAGAAAUGAGCCUCAUCGCUGAACAAAAUUAAAGCGCGAAACACAUUUCGAACCGAACACUGAUUUUGGUAAUAAAAUUCAAUGAUUUGCAAGCGUUGCUCGUUAGUAAGUCUAUUCAUGAUGAAAUGUCAAAGCAUACUGAGCAUCUUUCUCUUUGACACCAUGUCUGAAAUCCCACGUGAUCUGUCAAAUACUAAUGCAUGAAAAUCCUAACCUCAAAAAAAUCACCCGUUAUUUCCA